AUUGAACGCUGGCGGCAUGCCUAACACAUGCAAGUCGAACGAGUGGCGCACGGGUGAGUAACGUCUGUGAAACUGCCCUAUGGAGGGGGAUAACUCCUGGAAACGGUAGCUAAAACCGCCUACCCUCCGAUUAGACCAGCUGGGAUUAGGUAGUAGGUGGGGUAACGGCUCACCAAGGCGAUGAUCCCUAGCUGGUAUGAGAGGAUGACCGGCAACACUGGAACGGAGACACGGUCAAGACUCCUACGGGAGGCAGCAGUGGGGAAUAUUGCACAAGGGGCGAAAGCCUGAUGCAGCCAGGCCGCGUGUAUGAAGAAGGCCUUCGGGUUGUAAAGUACUUUAAGUGGGGAGGCGUUACUAGCAGAAGAAGCACCGGCUAACUCCGUGCCAGCAGCCGCGGUAAUUC
rnacentral:rRNA from 1 species